GAGGGAGUAGCAUACAGUAAAUUCAUAUUUCUAAGGGGAUGUUUACCUUGCAUGAUUGAGUAUUUUUAUGCUCAAAAUUAUGAUUUCUCUCAUCUCACAAUUUCAAUGAGAUAUGAAUCAAGCAAAACUAGCUCAAAUGAUAGAAAUAAUCAAGAGCCUUAGAAUAUCUCAAAGGUUCAAUCAAUCUAAGUAAACAAGAGAUUAGCUUACUAUUUUUAUUUAUCAAAGUUGUUGUGCCUAAAAAUAACAAUUCUAACAGAAAGCUAAAA
rnacentral:lncRNA from 1 species